rnacentral:lncRNA from 1 species
AUGGGCGAGGUGCGGGGAAGGCCUGCAGGCUGCUGGGGCUCAGCAGGGGGGCUUGACGAUUGGUUACAGUUGGCAGGGAGGCAUGUCAGAGGGGGCCUCCCCAGCCCUCUCCUGCCGCCGCCUCCCUUUGUCCAGCGCCGGGCACUCCGGGGAACACCAGUCGCGCCUGCGCGCUGCGCUCCCUGCCACCGCCCCGCUGUCCCCGUCUCCCCGCUUGGCGGGCACCGGGUUGUGCGCGACGCAGUGGACGGAUACUGGGCUGAGCGCGGGACUCCCGGUUCCAUAGAGAUACGGGGCGGGUGGGGGGGAGCAAGGACGAGUGCCUGCCUGGACCCCCCCUGGCUCCUGGCUCCCAAGGAGUCGAGGGGAACAUCUCUACCGCCCUGCAGUGCCAGCAGAGAUGGAGCAAAGCAACCCUCAUAUUCCAAAUGGUGGUGUUUAACCUCAAGUUUAUUUUAAAUAUACCUGCCUGACUCUGACCAGAGAUAAAAGUGAACAUCACAAAUAAUGGGACAAAUUGACAUUAUGUGUCUUCUGAUAUGAUGCUGUGAAAGGAACACAGCACCAUAAGGUGGUAUCUGUGAUAUCCCUGGCCAAACAUAAGGAAACAAUUACACAAACCCAAACUGAGAAUCCUGCAAAAUAACUGGCAUAAAAUCUUCAAAAAUAUUGAGAUCAUGAAAGAUAAGGAAAGAUAGAAGAAUUCUUCUAGGUUGAAGAAGACUGAAGAAGUGUCAACAGUAAAUGGAUCGCAUGAUCAUGGGUUGGAUUCAAAAAUAGGAGGAAGAAAUUGUCCAUACAUAUUGGAACAACAGGUUAAUUAGAAUGGGAUGAGUGGAUGAGAUGGUGUACUAGAUGGUGAUACUGUGGAAAUGCCAGCUUCCUGCUCUUGACAACUGUGGCUGUAUAAGAGAAUGGCCUUGUCUUUUUUUUUUUUGAGACGGAGUCUCGCUCUGUUGCCCAGGCUGGAGUGCAAUGGCAAGGUCUCGGCUCACUGCAAGCUCCGCCUCCCGUUUCACGCCAUUCUCCUGCCUCAGCCUCUCGAGUAGCUGGGACUACAGGCGCCCACCACCACGCCCAGCUAAUUUAUUUAUUUAUUUAUUUAUUUGUAUUUUUAGUAGAGACGGGGUUUCACCGUGUUCGCCCGGAUGGUCUCAAUCUCCUGACCUCGUGAUCCGCCAGCCUCGGCCUCCCAAAGUGUUGGGAUUACAGGCGUGAGCCACUGCGCCCGGCCUUUGGCCUUGUCUUUUAGGAAAUUCACACUGACAUUCCUAGUGGGACUGGAGUAUCAUGUCUCUAACUUUCAGUUGUUUCAGAAAAUAGAUAAGAUAGAUAGCUAACGAUAAAGCAGCAAAAUGUUAACAACUGGGGAACCUGGGUAAAAGGUAUAUGGUGAUUCCUUGUGUUAUUAUUUCACCUUUUCUGUAAAUUUGAAAUUUUUUUCAAAAUAAAAAGUUAAAAUAAGAACUAUUGAAGUGCAUCAUGAAGCAAUUGUCAUUAGGUUACUUGUUUAACAUUACCAUUAAAAUGAAUAUGCUAUCUCCAUAAAACAAAUUGCAAAGACAGUAUAUCUAUAGAUAGGUAUACACAUACAUAUUAUAAGAUAUAAACAAAUAUAUAUAUAUAUAUAGAGAGAGAGAGAGAGAGAGAGAGAGAGAGAGAGAGAGAGAGAAUCUUGCUCUGUAACCCAGGCUGGAGUGCAGUGCUGCAAUCAUAGGUCACUGCAGCCUCGAACUACUGGGCUCAAGCAAUCCUCCUGCCUCAACCUCCCAAGUAGUUGGGACUACAGGUGCAUUCCCCCACACCUGACUAAUUAAAAAAAAUUUUUUUAAGAGAUAGGGUUUCACUAUGCUGCCCAGGCUGGUCACGCUGGUCAUAAACUCCUGGCCUCAAGUGAUUCUCCUGCUUCAGCCUCCCAAAGCACUAGGAUUAUAAAAGGGACCCACUAUGCCUGGCCCACAAUAAUCCAGAGAUUAUGGUGGUACAUAGCCAGCAUAGCAAACCAACCUUGAAUCAAGUGCUCCCAGUUCCAGGAGCUCUGGGGUAGGCCUGGGAAGGAGGAAAUUCUGCUUCCUGUCCUUGUUUUUCUCUCACAUUUCAAGUCCUGCACCCAC